rnacentral:rRNA from 1 species
AUGGACGCCGUCGUGUUGGGUGACGUUGAUGAUCUCGACUUCGACUUGGGUUUUAUGGACGGGUUCGAGUUCGACCUGCUGGACAUGGACCUCACCGAGUUCUGCCACGGCGACGGCGAGUGCUUGCUGCCUGCCGUGGCCGAUAAGGAUGGCGGUUUGGGUUUGGAUUUAGGUUCUGAUGACGGUGGCGAAGGGGGGAGGGAGAGCUCGCCGGACUCCGUGGUGACGGACGACGGCGCGCCGCCUCUGUCGUUAGAGCCGUCUGGGGAUCGCGACGAUGGCGAGAUGUCGGCCUACGUGGGCGACCUGGAGAGGUUCCUCAUGGAGAGCGAGGAUGACGCGGAGGCCGGCGGGCCGUUCGCGGCCAAGGGGCUUGCCGCCAACGACCACUUGUUCGACGAUCUCGCUGUUGCGGACGGCGGUUACGUCCAGCCGUCGACUGCAGCGGAGGAGUUUGCCGCCGCGGACUACUUCUUGGGUGAUCUCGACGACGGUUACGCUGAGCCGGCGACUCCAGGGAAGGAUCUCGUCCUCGACGACUACUUCUUCGGCGAUCUCGUCUCGUACGACUACUUAUACGAUCCUGCUGUUGGGAGCGAUGGCUGCGUCGAGCCCGCGGCCGUUGCCAGCGUGGACGAUGCUGCAUCAUCGGCGACGGAGGAGGAGGAUGCUGGCGAGUACUACGACGACGACGAAGCGACCUCGAGGAAGCGCGCAAGAGGAAGGGCGGCGCUGCGGUGCCACGCGAAGCAGAGCUCCGGGAAACGCCGGUGA